UUGUGCUUGCACAUCGGAAGGUCUCGGGAACCAGGCUAGUCACCUGCCACCAGUACAUCCAUGGUGUUUAUUGCGGAUGUUUUAUGUUAAAAAAAUGCAAUUUCAAAAAAUCAUUGUGGUGUUCAUUGUGAUACUUGAAACGUACCAUUGUGUGGAAUUACCUGACAAUGCGUGCACAGCGUCGCUGGAAACUUUAAAGGAUGUUUCAAAGUGUCCUUCAAAUGAAAAAGAAUAUAGAGACGCUGCCCGGAGAAAGAACUGCUCAGCAUAUAGCAAUGCCUGUAGAUCAUUUGAAUAUCACUGUGUUCUUAAUGAAUGGGCAACAAGUCUGGUGGAGGUCUGUGCACCUUCGAGAUUGAUACUGUCUGGCAAAUGUACCGAGUUCAACAGAGGAUUACAUUGUAUUCGCAGAAGCUAUCUGACGGACUGCAAAAAGUUUAGUAAACCAUGUCCACUGGUUUAUGAUUCAACACAAUCUUUUCUGUGCAACAUAUUGUGGUGUCAAUGACAACAGAAAUGCACGCUCGUGUUUGCCUCCUGUGAUAUUUUACUCGAAAUACAAUCAGAGUAUGUGUAGUAUGUAUCAACCGAUAUCAAAAUAAGCAGAUAAAUUUCUAUUAUCCCUCUUUAGAAAAAGAAAAGAUGGUGCUGGAUCUAUAAAAGACAUUAAUAAUCAUUUUAAAUUUACUCUAAUAUAGAAAUAACACUAUACCAUGACCCUUAAUGUUGUUGUUGUCACUAUGCUUCGAUUUCAAAUUCUGUCGUUGUUUUCAUUAUGAUUUAAUAUCUAGUUAUCUUGCUGUUGUCACUAUGCUUUGAUUUCUGAUUAUGUUGUCAUUAUGCUUUAAUAUCUAAAUAUAUCGUUGUUUUCAUGGUGUCUUAAUUUGAAUUAUGUUGUUGUUGUCAUUAUGCUUUAAUAUCUAAUUGUGUUUAUUCUAAUUAUGUUGUUACUGUCAUUAUUCUUUGAUGUUCAGUUAUGUUGUUGUCACUAUAUUUUUUUCUUCUAAGUCUGCUGUUGUUGUUGUCAUUGUGUUUUUAUUUAGAAGUAUGAUGUCUGUUGCUAUUGCUAUCACGUUUUUGAUAAUUAAUGAUGUUGCUCGUUUGCUCGUUAUAUUGAAUCAAUAAUAUCGUCGUUAUAUUCUUGCAAUGAUGUUGAAAUUGUCUGUUCUAAGUUUUGAAUAAGUGAAAAAAGUAUAAUUACGAAACAGAUUUCUAGUUGCCUCAGAUAAAUCAUCUAUGAAUACGUGCAUUAUUUCCCUAAUGCAUAUCCAAAUGUACAAUGUAUUACACGUUUAUAUUCAUCAUAAGAAAUGUAUAUAGAUAAAAACGAUGUAGGAGAUAUAUAGGAAAUUAUAAUUGUAUCAUUUUUGUAUAACCUAGUAUAAACUUUGCAAAACUUAAUUAACUUUUCUAACUAAUCUGAAUUUUGUUUUCAUUUGAAAUGGUUAUGUCUCUUACAUGUCAAUAGGGCGUUAAUUUUUACCUGGUACUUACUGAACUGUUUUACAAUGCUUCAUGAUUUACAAAACGUUCAAAUCCAGUUUUAAAAAGAGAUCAAAAUAAUAUUGUAAUCUUUAGUUUUACUUGUAAAAAAAAUUAGAUCCUGGUUGUUACAACAUAGUCAGUACGGCGACAAAGGAGAGUACUGAAUUGUCAACAGCAAAGUAUAGCACUGCAGGUACAACAAUAGGAGAUAUUAGAAACCAGAAACAAAGGAAGAAAGAAAGCAAUCUUGAAGGAGGGGUUCUGAUGAUCGCCUUGCCUAUUGCAUGCCUGGCUUGGAUUGCAGCUGUUGUGAUAAUAUUUGUAAUAUACUUUAAAUGGAAGAAGUCUAUCUCCAAUCGAUCGAAACAAAAAUUGACAAGAAAAUUAAAUACAGAUUCGUCCAGCAACGACACGCAGGAGGCAUUAAUUAAAGGUUCGAACUAGAGACCGCAAUCCAGGGAAUACAAAUAACUGUUCGGGACAAAAAAUGUGGAUGAAAAGCCUUCAGAUUAUUCCAUUGUAUUCUGCUUCUAUAUGUGUUUGAUCAAAGAUAGAACAUAAAAUGCAUGUGAAUAGAGCUAAGUACCGCCAAAGAAUAUGUAUCGCGGUAUACCACAAAAUUUACUUAAUACCACGGUUUAUUCCACGGUAUUGACUAUUUGUAUCAUAACAACACAAAUCUCAGUAUUAUCUUUUUAAUCUAAGACUAUAAUUUUAUAGCAGUAAUUCACAUGCUGAAUGUAAAAUAAUAAAGACUUGUAAAUACA